AACGGCUUGGAUCAUUGAAAGACGAUCAAUCGGAUUCAAAGGCUAGAGUCCCGACGUAUGACAUUGCAUUACGAACAAACCUCAUAAUUCAUCUUCCUCCUCGUGAAACUCCGUCUACACUGCUUUCAUCAGCACGAAGCUCUCUCUCUCUCUUUCUCUCUCUCUCUCUCUCUCUCGGAGAUGGGUCCAAGACAGUGUGAGGUCUGCAAGGAAGCGCAAUCGAAAUACAAGUGCCCUUCCUGUCUCAUUCCUUACUGUUCUCUUCCAUGUUUCAAGAAACAUAAAGAAAUUCCUUGUGCAAAGCCUGUGUCUGUUGAGGCAAAACCACCUCUUAUAUUGCUCCGGGAAAGAUCAUACGAAGUAGGUGAACAAAGCUGGAUGCUUCAAAAGGCUCAGUUAGAGUCCGUAGCGACUUCCAAUGAAAUUCGAGAUGCCUUGAAGGAUGAAGAACUUCGAAAACUCAUAUGCAAGAUUGACUGUUCCCCAGAUGCAGAAAAUGAACUAGAUAAAGCUAUGGAGGGACAGAUCUUCCGUGAAUUCACCGACAAGAUUCUAUCCAUUGUCAGCCAAGAACAAUCAGUUGUAGCUGAAAAAAGAUGAUGAGGCAGGACACAUCAUCUUAGCUGUUAGAAGCUCGUUGAAAGAGGUGAUGCUCUGGCCCAUCUAAAGAGUUCCAAAGGGUGAUCGGAUGCAGCGGAGAGUCCCUUGUCUCAGCUACGAUCAGAGGGGGGAAAUGUGGGCUGCUUAAUGCUGAUUCCAUGUGGCCGCACAGGCCAAUUUAAGUUGCCCUACGUUUUGCAGUACACUUAGAUGCCGUGUAUAUGAUCUGUCGAUGUGGUCAAGUUGUCAAAGUGAGCAUUAUAUCACAUUCUAGAACAGUUAUCAUGGACCAUGUGCACAUGCAACCAUAGUACGUGGGAUGUGUGUCAAUGUGAAACUGACCAAAUUGUGGGUCCCAUUGCAGCCGGGAUGUAGUGAAAAGAUCAAUGUUUGGAGAUUAUUAGCCA